UACGGAGGGUGCAAGCGUUAAUCGGAAUUACUGGGCGUAAAGCGCACGCAGGCGGUUUGUUAAGUUAGAUGUGAAAUCCCCGGGCUUAACCUGGGAACUGCAUUUAAGACUGGCAGGCUAGAGUCUUGUAGAGGGGGGUAGAAUUCCAUGUGUAGCGGUGAAAUGCGUAGAGAUGUGGAGGAAUACCGAUGGCGAAGGCAGCCCCCUGGGCCAAUACUGACGCUCAUGCACGAAAGCGUGGGGAGCAAACAGG
rnacentral:rRNA from 1 species